GUCAUUUAGAUUUUCCUUGCUCUCAAAUUGGGUUUGGUGCUGCUGUAGUUUCCUGUCGUUGGCGUUAUGCAAAAUAUUCAGGCCAUGUAGGCUUUAAUAUAUUGCUCCUCCCCGUGGUCUCACCUGGGAAGAAAUUAUAUGCUUCUAACUGCCUCUUGACAGGUGAAUCACUUUUUCACUCCAGAUCAAAAAUAAGACUAUUUUUGUAUUCUACUGCCACCAUAGAUAGCAUAUGAUUUCUUGCUAAACGCCUAAAAUAGGGAUUUUUAAGUUUCAUCUUCAUAAUAAUAUGUACAACUAUUAAUGAUUAAACACGUUUAGAAUCUGUUAGCCCGGGGAAGGUGCCGCCAUAUUUCAUUUGAGAUAUUGUCAACUACCAAGGAGAUCUUCGACGCAAACUUUCAGUUGAAUUUGUGUUGGCAAGUUUCCUCUAGAUUUGUCAUUCAGUUUCCGAUUUUGCUACAGGUGCCCUGUCAAAGCCAGCAGUCUCCAGUUGCUUCAUGUGGCUAGUCAACUUAAAGAAGCCUAACAAGAUGCAGCUUUACGACAUGUGCAAAGUUUCUGAAUGCUCUCAUUUCUGAACUGGUGAAGAGGAGAUAUAUUUUAUGAUUUACACUGUGAUAAUUGACAGCAAAUAUCCUCUGCUGCUGUUUAUGGAUGAAUACUAUGCUAUUCUAUCUAGUUGAUUCUUUUCCUGUUGGCUUUGAUAAUAAACCAAUUACUAUGUA